rnacentral:rRNA from 1 species
CCUACGGGAGGCAGCAGUGAGGAAUAUUGGUCAAUGUACGCAAGUCUGAACCAGCCAUGCCGCGUGCAGGAAGACGGCUCUAUGAGUUGUAAACUGCUUUUGUACGAGGGUAACCGCAGAUACGCGUAUCUGUCUGAAAGUAUCGUACGAAUAAGGAUCGGCUAAGUCCGUGCCAGCCGCCGCGGUAAUACGGAGGAUUCAAGCGUUAUCCGGAUUUAUUGGGUUUAAAGGGUGCGUAGGCGGUCGGAGAAGGUUGAGGUGAAAUCCCGAGGCUCAACUUCGGAAUUGCCUCGGAUAAUGUUCUGCUAGAGAGUAGUUGCGGUAGGCGGAAUGUAUGGUGUAGCGGUGAAAUGCUUAGAGAUCAUACAGAACACCGAUUGCGAAGGCAGCUUACCAAGCUACUUCUGACGUGGAGGCACGAAAGCGUGGGGAGCAAACAGGAUUAGAUACCCUUGUAGUC